UAAAAUAACUUCUCCUCCCUCUUGCACCGACAUCUGUUCUCUUCACUGAUGACGUGUUUACUGGCAUGAGGGCGAGACAACCAAGUCAUUCGCAAGGGGGUAGGCAUAGCUUUGGAAGGGAUUCUCUGACACAGUUACGGAAUCGCUAUCAAGAGAUUUAGGAAGCACAAUGUUUAAAACCUAGAGCUGCUAUUGACCGUUUGUUCAUGGCGCUCCU